CAGAGAAGAGCUGUUGGGGCGGAGCAGGUCACUGCCCGCGUCAGAACUGACAAGCAGCCUUGUGGAAACCUCUGAGUGGCGCCAUGAGGGAAAAAGGGGCGCAAGUGAGGAUGAAAUUCAUUCCAUACAAGUGAAGACCUUGAUGCUCCAGGGUGACGGAGUGGACUCUCGCUGAGUGAAAAGCAGGAAACCUCCUCAGGUCUGGGUGGAGAACGUCCACCUGGCUGAAGACACUGGACUCCUCGUAGGGGAUCCUGGUGGGAUAUAGUUUGGAUGUGUCUUCUGGAGGAAACAGGUGCCAGCGCUUCCUGUGAGAGGGCGAGAAAGAAACAUGGUCAAGUCUCGGGUAUAAUUCUGAGAAACUAGAAGGGCCCUCAAAAGCGCGCAUACCACCACGAAAACGGGAGCAGGUGGCAGGAGUGUUUCAAGGCUCCUGCAACACAUGCAUGAAGAAGAGCUCAGCUGGUUAUAGGUUUUUGAGUUAUACUCCUAACAAACAAACAGCAAACACCUAUGACCUCAGAUGAACCUCACCCUCGCAGCAGUUCAGAGGCUUCAUCUGGAUUUCAGACGGGAUCAAUAACGAACAAGGAGCAGGUGAUUAAGGCAGGAGAGAUAAGACUUGUUCUCCAGACUCGACCAUCUUCGGAAUGCGACUCAGCCAUUCUCUCUAGUGAGAGGAGCUGGAUCAAUUACAGUUAUGCAGUCGGGACAUGGGAUGAGUCAAAGGUUCAGAAAAGCCCAGUUGUUGCCCAUUCAAGUUUCAUGUCAAUGAAGCCACACUUCUGCACAUAACAAUCUUCCAAGGCUCGGUCUUGGACUUCCAAAUAAUUACACUUAGCUACUGACUUAAUCUUGGGUGCGAGACAAGACCAACAGGUAUCAAGUCAGGGAGCAGUUCUUGAGUACAACAUGUAAAAUAAAGCAGCAUACAGAUUCCAUGGCUUGGUCGUGGAUCACCAGGGGCUCCCUCCUUGAGGGAGGGUCUGUUCCAGGGUUGGAUUGACUUGCAGUGAGAUACCAUGAUUUCCCACCACUUAUGAGGCUAAACGGCACCUCUGUGCGAACCAUACUGUUACCUGUAGGAGUGUCAAACUUAGUUCAACACAACCAUACUUCCAUAAAAAUGGUUGACGUCUCGCACAAUCUCCAAGAUGCUCAUCUCAAAAUAUACAAUUCUGUCAUCAUCUCAUCUGUCAUGUAUUUCCCCUUGCAGCACACUAAGUUAAAUCAAAUUUGUAAUGGCUUGUACAAAGGUAUCAGCAGAAACCUUGAAUCAGAUUUAUGCUGAUUAUUUAUAUGUUAUCGGCCAGGAAUGAGCUGUGUUCUUCUUACCGUCCUUGCACCUGCAGCACCAGGUUACACCCGUAAGAGUCCUGGUGACAGGGGGUGUUUGCUCCCUUUGUUCCAAUCCAUAAGGUGCUCUCUCUCCCGUCCCGUCCACUGAAUCCAAAUUCAGACCACUUCACAUCCUACAGCACACACACACAUUGAUGAAAUUCAUCAUUCCCAUGAUAAGAGCAACAAUAAAU